CUUUCUUUUCACUGCACCUCUUUGGUAGAAGCUGAUUGUUUGGUCAGUCCUCAGAUUUGCUGGCAGCCUUCUACACUUCUUCCAGGAUGGGUUUGUGUGCAGGACACAGGUUUUGGACAUCACGUUGGGUGUUGAGAUGUACCAGGAAAGAACCCUGCAGGUGAAACAUCUGUCCAGAUGACUGGUUUCAACUCUUUGACCUGGAUGAUGGAGCUUACAUCAGGACUUGUUUAAAACAAAUGGAAGCAACAAUGCUCAAGGCUUGAAACAACCUCGGAUGUUUGGUUCCGCUGCUCUGAGGGCUGCACAUCACUAAAGGUGCUACAGUGACCAGAGGCCAAACUGCCGAGGUUCAUCUGUGCCAUCAGCCCUACAGAAUUACUGCCAGCUCUACAGUCAGCACGUCCGUCGUUACUUUUGGGCUUGAAACGGCCUCAGGUGUUGCUCUGAGGGCUACAGAUCCAUCACUAAAGGUGCUACAGUGACCAGAGGCCAAACGAUGAGCUGCUGAGGUUCCUCUGUGCCAUCAGCCCUACAGAAUUACUGCCAGCUUCUACAGUCAGCACGUCCAUAGUUACUUUUAGGCUUGAAACGGCCUCGGAUGUUUGGUUCCACUGCUCUGAAGGCUGCACAUCAUCACUAAAGGUGCUACAGUGAUCAGAGGCCAAAUGAUGGACUGCUGUGAGAAUGGACCAACAUGGAGAUGUGAAGAUCAAAUGUUUGAAAAGCUUUUUAAAUGUUUUAUUCAAAUAAAAGAGGAAAAAAACCCCAA